ACGGAAGGCAGCAGUAGGGAAUAUUGCACAAUGGGGGAAACCCUGAUGCAGCAACGCCACUUGUGGGAAGAAGCAUUUCGUUGUGUAAACCACUGUCGUGAGGGAAUAAUGCUUAAUUUCGGUUCAGUUGAAUGUACCUCGAAAGGAAGCACCGGCAAACUUCGUGCCAGCAGCCGCGGUAAUACGCGGGGUGCAAGCGUUGUUCGGAAUCACUGGGCGUAAAGGGAGCGCAGGCGGAGAUGCAAGCAGUCUGUACAAGACCGGGGCCCAACCCCGGACCUGCAGACUAGACUGUUUCUCUUGGAGAGUACAGGGGCAAGCGGAAUUCCUGGUGUAGCGGUGGAAUGCGUAGAGAUCAGGAAGAACACCGAUGGCGAAGGCAGCUUGAUGGGGACUUAUCGACGCUCAUGCUCGAAAGUGCGGGUAGCAAACAGGAUUAGAUACCCUGGUA
rnacentral:rRNA from 1 species